GGUGGAGCGAUUUGUCUGGUUAAUUCCGAUAACGAACGAGACUCUGGCCUAUUAAAUAGACGAUAUAUUUCAAAGUAUAUCGCGCUUCUUAGAGGGACAAGCGGCGUCUAGCCGCAUGAAAUAGAGCAAUAACAGGUCUGUGAUGCCCUUAGAUGUCCGGGGCUGCACGCGCGCUACACUGAAAGAAUCAGAGUGCGUUAUACCUAGUUCGGAAGAACCGGGUAACCCAAGUAAAUUCUUUCGUGCUUGGGAUAGGGAAUUGCAAUUAUUUCCCUUAAACGAGGAAUUCCCAGUAAAUGCGGGUCAUAAGCUCGCGUUGAAUACGUCCCUGCCCUUUGUAC
rnacentral:rRNA from 1 species